GCGCGAUCCCUGUGUUCACGGAGCACACACCCGUGUGCCAGACUCCAGUUGCGUCGGGGACACGGGACGCAUGCAGGUGACAGCGCUGCGAUGUCUUCCAGCUGCACAAGCACGGACUAGCUAGGCCCACCUCCAAGGAGCCUAUGGACCCUGAGCGCAUCAGUGGGCUGGGCCUCGGAGAAGUGAGCACCCUCAGAGCCCCGUCUCCUCGCAGGCCUCGAAACCCCGUCCAGGUGACGCUCAAGGUCAGCUGUCACUUACUCUUGGCUGGAAACUAUGCAGCCUUGAGGGGUGGUUGCAUCUCGGUCAGCUGUUGCUGCUGUAACAAAGAGGGCUGGCAGCCAAUAACCCACACAGACUGCUUCCCCAGUCCUGGAGGCUUCGAGCCCGAGAUGAGGGUGCGGCUCGGACAGUGUCUGGGGAGGGCCUGCCGGGUGGCACAUGGUACCGUCCAGCCGUGCCCUCACCUGGUGAAGGGCACAGGGAGCUGCCGGGGCCUUUAUGAGGACCCUAACCCUAUGCAGGAAGUCCCGCCUUCAGGACCAACGCUCCGCUGGGAUCCAGUGUGGCCCAAGAACCCCAUCGCUCUGCCGUGUUGCUCAGGAAAUCUGACCGAACAAAAGGCCUGCUCCAUGCCCCUGCCAUGAAGAUUCCAGUUUUGGGGGCCACUUUCAGUCCCCAGUGGGUGGGCACUGAGGCUGCAGAACCCCAGGACUCGGAGGCUGGCUGUGUCCACAGAACGGCGGCAGGCUGGCCUCCAGGGGGGAGCACAAGGCAAGCUGAGGUGGGCACGCGCUGCCUGCCGGGAAAGAGACCCAUGGCACAGGUGGCGUCCAGAGAAGGGCAUGGGGAGCCCCUGGUUUACAGGGAACAGGAGCCGCGGAGGACACUGACACUCCACCGGGCUUCCAGUCAGAGCUGCAGCCAGGUGGAAAUCAGGUGGGAUGUCCUUGAGUGCCAAGAAACCACAUCCCAUCUGGAGAACCUGGCACCAGCCGGGAGGUGACGCUGGAGAAAGGAUGAGUCCCUGAAUUUCAUUUAUGUUUCACAGGCCCUGGAAUAUAGAAGAACAAAAUGAAGAAGCCAGGUGUGGUGGUGUACACCUGUCAUUCCAGCACUUGGGAGGCUGAGGCAGGAGGAUUGCCUCAAGUUCAGGGCCAGCUUGGGCUACAUAGCGAGUUCAAGGUGCGCACACACACACCAACUAAAUUUUUUAAGUGAGAUAAUGGGAGUCACGUGGCAGGACAGAGGAGGGAGCAGGCCCUGGUGUCGCUAUGACCUCUAACUUCCUCUUCAGAUUCAGUCUCCCUUGCAAGGGCCUGGAAUGACUCUUGGUGUCAUCUCCACGGUGUCGGUGUCGGCUUCCCCCAGGCACUAUGCAAGCCCC
rnacentral:lncRNA from 1 species